rnacentral:rRNA from 1 species
AUGGCCCUCCCAAGAGAGAAGCAGGCGUCGACGCUGUGCAGGCCGUCCAUGGCGAUGGAGACGCCCGGGCAGGAAGGGCUCAAUCCGGAUGAACCAGCCCGCAUCGAGCCCGGCCGCCUCAACAGGAGCUCGUCUCUCUGCCUGCUAGCGGCUCACCGGAGCCGCCACCGCCGGCGACCACCUCCCUCACCUUGUGCCCCUUCUUCUUCGCCUUUCUUCCUCUCUUCCCCGAGGAGUGGGGAGCCGGCGAAUCCGUCGGUCAGGAGCUGGGCGGCGCCCUCCAUCAUCGCUGCCGUUUGGGGAGGGACGCGGUCCUGGUCGAUGCGGUGUGGUGCGGGCGGCUCGGGGCAGGAGGUGGCGGCGGGAUGGAGAUACAUGCGAUGGGGCACCGGCAAACUGUUAGAAUUGUAUCGAAUAUUAUUGUACAAGGUAGGUUACAGUUGGACUUGGUUUUGGACUGUGUGUAGACAGGAUAAGAGUUGUGUCCUAGUAGGACACCUGUAUCCUAGGCCUCUCAUAUAUAUCGGGGGUAGACACACGAUGUAA